AAAUGCACGUGCAGGCUGCGUCGUAGACGAGUACUACCAGCACUUUGAAGAUAUGUAUUUGAAACUUGUAUUGGUUUCUGCUGCUCUCAUGUAUGUAGGUGUUGCCUCAGGUUAUGAGGUAACCGGUUGCUAUACUUGCUCAGCUAGCGAAUCGGACCCUCAAGCAUUUAACAACUGUCGUCACUUCAUUAAUAUUACUGCAACUGAGGAUUGUAAAAGAAAUUACUAUUCUUGCCUUUUUUAUUAUACAGACGCACCAGCCGGCAAGGUUUAUGUGAACAGAGGUUGUAGUGAAGAUAGUUGUCGGAGCUUCGCCGACCAAUACCCAGGAUAUAUGAAACACUGUCAGGAUUGCAAUAGCAGACAUUGCAAUACUUUCACAUAGAUCAAUAACACCAAGCGAACAUUUUUCUGCAUACUAUACUAUAACUAAUUAUUUUAUUGUUCUUUAAUAUUUCUGUUCUUUUUUCUUUGUCAUAAUCGUCUAAACGACAAAAUGCAAUAAUUAUGUUGUAACAAUAUACGUAUUUACAAUUGGAA